CGCGCAACACGUGUCAAUAUAGGCGCGCAUUGGCCGCAACCGCUGGGUGCAUUCACCGACACAUGCGCACAUUAGCUGAACAAAACUCUUCAUAAACCGGCGGGAACAUGUUACUCAUGACUCAGUGUACAUGAUGCCACGGCUUGGCCGCGAUAGACCACGCAUUACGGUUAUAACCCUUUCCUUUUUUCGUUUUUUUAUGGUAUUACCACAACCGUUUUCAUCAUCAAAAUUUCUUGACAGAUAGAUCAUAUACAUAACCUUUCUUUCUCAUUCGCGAUAUGAUAUUCAGUGUUGUGUUAUAACAAAGAAACGCGAUCGAUGUAUCAAUUCAGCAACAUUCUCCCUCAUCGAGAUAAAAUAUUCUUUUUUAAUCAAAAAAAUCGGAGGAACAAAUAAAAAACGACGCAGAAUAUUUUUGGGAAAGGAAUGAUCGUUCGUCUAAUCAUAGAAAAACAACAAAAGAUUAAGGAAGAUUGCCUAUCCGACGAACACGUAUGAUUUGAGUAUGAGCAACAACGAAUGAACAGAAAAACAAUGAAUAAGUGAAUUAAUCAAUGAAC